GUGGGUAAACCUGCCCUAUACACAUGGAUAACAUACUGAAAAGUUUACUAAUACAUGAUAAUAUAUAUUUACGGCAUCGUAGAUAUAUCAAAGUGUUAACGGUAUAGGAUGGACCCGCGUCUGAUUAGCUAGUUGGUGAGAUAACUGCCCACCAAGGCGACGAUCAGUAGCCGACCUGAGAGGGUGAUCGGCCACAUUGGAACUGAGACACGGUCCAAACUCCUACGGGAGGGCAGCAGCG
rnacentral:rRNA from 1 species